UGAUGUCACCGAUGAUGCUGAGCGCC
rnacentral:piRNA from 1 species